UGGGGAAUAUUGGACAAUGGGCGAAAGCCUGAUCCAGCCAUGCUGCGUGUGUGAAGAAGGACUUCGGAAUGUAAAGCACUUUAAGUUGGGAGGAAGGGCUGUUACCUAAUACGUAAUUGUUUUGACGUUACCGACAGAUUAAGCACCGGCUAACUCUGUGCCAGCAGCCGCGGUAAUACAGAGGGUGCAAGCGUUAAUCGGAAUUACUGGGCGUAAAGCGCGCGUAGGUGGU
rnacentral:rRNA from 1 species